UGAUAGCUCAGCUGAUAGCUCAGUUGGUAGAGCACUGCACCGGCACCGGUAAUCGCAGGGGUUAUGGGUUCGAACCCCAUUCAGUCAA